GGGGCUAUAGCUCAGUUGGUAGAGCGCUUCCAUGGCAUGGAAGAGGUCAGGAGUUCAAUUCUCCUUAGCUCCA
rnacentral:tRNA from 4 species